CACAACUUCAAGUGUAUGUUUUGGAAUGUGCGGGGUUUAAACUCCGGAGCCAAGCGCCCCGCCGUAUGUAGCAUCGUCACCUCAGACAUGCCUUCUAUUGUCUGCAUCCAAGAGACUAAACUUGCCCACAUCACGCUGCCACUUGUGGUCGAGACUCUCGGGCCUUCCUUCGACGGUUUCUUCUUUCUCCCUAUGGAGGAGACCCGGGGCAGUAUUCUUCUAGCCUGGCGUAGCUCUGUGCUAUUCGUUACCAGUCCUUCCUAUGGCUACCACCACAUCACGGCGGAGGUCUCCUCGCUCGCCGGUGAUCGGCGCUGGUGGCUAACUGGCGUCUACGGCCCUCAAAGCGAUGUCGAGAAGCUGCAAUUCCUUGCAGAUUUGUAG
rnacentral:rRNA from 1 species